rnacentral:rRNA from 1 species
GUGGGGAAUAUUGGACAAUGGGCGCAAGCCUGAUCCAGCCAUAUCGCGUGGGUGAAGAAGGCCUUCGGGUUGUAAAGCCCUUUUGUUGGGAAAGAAAUCCUGUCGGUUAAUACCUGGCGGGGAUGACGGUACCCAAAGAAUAAGCACCGGCUAACUUCGUGCCAGCAGCCGCGGUAAUACGAAGGGUGCAAGCGUUACUCGGAAUUACUGGACGUAAAGCGUGCGUAGGUGGUGGUUUAAGUCCGUUGUGAAAGCCCUGGGCUCAACCUGGGAAUUGCAGUGGAUACUGGAUCACUAGAGUGUGGUAGAGGGAUGCGGAAUUUCUGGUGUAGCAGUGAAAUGCGUAGAGAUCAGAAGGAACAUCCGUGGCGAAGGCGGCAUCCUGGGCCAACACUGACACUGAGGCACGAAAGCGUGGGGAGCAAACAGGAUUAGAUACCCGGGUAGUCC